GAUGAUGCAUUGGCAUAUAGCCAGUGCAGUGUNGCAGGGAAGCCGUUAAGUCAGCCNCCUGGGAAGUACGUACGCAAGUAUGAAACUUAAANGAAUUGGCGGGGGAGCACCACAAGGGGUGAAGCCUGCGGUUCAAUUGGAGUCAACGCCAGAAAUCUUACCCGGAGAGACAGCAGAAUGAAGGUCAAGCUGAAGACUUUACCAGACAAGCUGAGAGGUGGUGCAUGGCCGUCGCCAGCUCGUGCCGUGAGAUGUCCUGUUAAGUCAGGUAACGAGCGAGAUCCCUGCCACUAGUUGCUAUCAUUAUUCUCAGGAAUAGUGGGGCGAAUUAGUGGGACUGCCGUUGUUAAAACGGAGGAAGGAGGGGGCUACNUCAGGUCAGUAUGCCCCGAAACUCUGGGGCCACACGCGGGCUGCAAUGGUAGCGACAAUGAGCUCCAAACUCGAAAGAGAGUGGCAAUCUCUAAACGCUACCACAGUUAUGACUGAGGGCUGUGACUCGCCCUCACGAAUAUGGAAUCCCUAGAACNGCGUUCAUACCGCGC
rnacentral:rRNA from 1 species